UUAGGUAUCACCUGUUGGGAUUUGGUUAGAUUUGUAGUUGAAUCCUAAUUGAAUAAAAAUUAAUAUUUAAACCGGUUGGAGGUAAAUUAAAAUUUAAAUAUUAAUUAGAGUAUAAAUCUAACUAGAUUAGGAUAAAUAUUUAAAUCGAUUGGAGAUAAACUAAAUAUAGAUUUAAAUAUUUAUCGGAGUAGGAAUCCUAAUUAUACUAGGAUUUGGAUAGCUUUUGAUGUAAGCUAUAAAUAUAACAUAGGUGCUAUUAUUUUAGUGGUGGUAUGAAAUAGCCACACCCAUAUGGCAUGGCUAAGAUAGUUAUGAUUUUGGUUGCACCUAGUGCAUGGGUGCAAAAGGAUGUGUGCUGCUUUCGUAACCGUGGGUCAUUGGUAUACCUUGUGCACGAAUGCACAGGAUGAGAGAGAUGUCUUCUGGGAGUAUAGAAGACGAGAGAAGGGUAUGAGAGAUUCAGAAAGAGGGCUCGGGUUGUAGCUACUCUGUGCAGAAGAGGAGUCAGGUGUAAUAUUCUCUUAUUUAAUGAAUCUUAUUUUAUCCGUAUAUUUUUCUCUUUUUUGAUUGUAUCAGCUUCUGCUGAGGAGACGGGUUUAUGAUAAAAAUCCGAUUUGACGUUUCCGUUGUGGAAUCCCAACAAUUGGUACUGGAUCCACAGCAGUCGGUAUCAGAGCGGGUUGCGGAUUCACAAGAUUCGGUACCCGGGCGAGUAU
rnacentral:lncRNA from 1 species